UACAGAGGGUGCGAGCGUUGUCCGGAAUCAUUGGGCGUAAAGCGCGCGUAGGCGGCCCGGUAAGUCCGCUCUGAAAGUCCAGGGCUCAACCCUGGAAAGCGGGUGGAUACUGCCGGGCUAGAAUCCGGAAGAGGAGAGUGGAAUUCCUGGUGUAGCGGUGAAAUGCGCAGAUAUCAGGAGGAACACCAACGGCGAAGGCAGCUCUCUGGGACGUUACUGACGCUGAGACGCGAAAAGCGUGGGGGAGCAAACAGG
rnacentral:rRNA from 1 species